rnacentral:lncRNA from 1 species
AUGUCUAAACUUUUUUGUGUAACUCUUCUACUGUUUGUUACAGCAUUCCUGAUCCAAAAUGCUUCCGCUGGUGGGGAAGGAUCACUUCGUCCUCAAGAUUGUUCGGCUGCAUGUGACGUUCGUUGUUCAGACACUCAAUAUAAGAAAGCAUGUGUAACAUUCUGCAAUAUAUGUUGUGCUAAAUGUUUGUGUGUCCCAUCUGAAACAUAUGGAAACAAGGAAGAAUGCCCAUGUUAUAAUAAUUGGAAAACUAAGGAGGGAGAACCCAAGUGCCCUUAA